UACGGAGGGGGCUAGCGUUGUUCGGAAUCACUGGGCGUAAAGCGCGCGUAGGCGGCCGACGAAGUCAGGCGUGAAAGCCCCGGGCUCAACCUGGGAACUGCGUUUGAUACUGGUUGGCUAGAGGCCGGGAGAGGGUAGUGGAAUUCCCAGUGUAGAGGUGAAAUUCGUAGAUAUUGGGAAGAACACCAGUGGCGAAGGCGGCUACCUGGACCGGUUCUGACGCUGAGGUGCGAAAGCGUGGGGAGCAAACAGG
rnacentral:rRNA from 1 species